rnacentral:pre_miRNA from 1 species
UCGGCAGCAGCUCAGCCUUGUCAUCGUCAUCGAAUGCCGGUGGUUGGCCUGAAGGCGUACAGGGAGGCAUAGUACGGUAUUCGGAUUUGAGAGUCCUAGCUAGUCGCCA